rnacentral:tRNA from 1 species
AAGCUGCUAGCUCAAUUGGUAGAGCAGUCUGCUCAUGACGGAUUGGUUAGAGGUUCGAGUCUUCUGCAGCUUA